GGAAGUGUCAUAGCUCAGCGGCAGAGCCUCUGCUUUGCAUGCAGAAGGUCUCAGGUUCAAUCCCCGACAUUUCCA